rnacentral:tRNA from 1 species
AUUAUUUUGGCAGAUUAGUGUAAUGAAUUUAGAAUUCAUAAAUGUAAUUAUUUUA